rnacentral:rRNA from 1 species
UACGUAGGUGCCGAGCGUUGUCCGGAUUUAUUGGGCGUAAAGCGAGCGCAGGUGGUUUAUUAAGUCUGGUGUAAAAGGCAGUGGCUCAACCAUUGUAUGCAUUGGAAACUGGUAGACUUGAGUGCAGGAGAGGAGAGUGGAAUUCCAUGUGUAGCGGUGAAAUGCGUAGAUAUAUGGAAGAACACCAGUGGCGAAAGCGGCUCUCUGGUCUGUAACUGACGCUGAGGUUCGAAAGCGUGGGUAGCAAACAGG